UUUCUUACCUGGAAGUUGGAAUACCACAAUCAAGAAGGUGUUUUCCCUAGGAUGAAGCUCUUCCAUUGCACUUUUCUGUUGGGUAGACCUCUGUGAUCUUCCCAAACGUGGGAAUCUCAACUGCAUAAUUUAUGGUUGUGUGGGACUGCAUUUCUGCAUUUCCCUU